CACGUAGGCACCAAGCGUUGUCCGGAUUUAUUGGGCGUAAAGAGCUCGUAGGCGGCUUGUCGCGUCGGAUGUGAAAGCCCGGGGCUUAACUCCGGGUCUGCAGUCGAUACGGGCAGGCUAGAGUUCGGUAGGGGAGACUGGAAUUCCUGGUGUAGCGGUGAAAUGCGCAGAUAUCAGGAGGAACACCGGUGGCGAAGGCGGGUCUCUGGGCCGAUACUGACGCUGAGGAGCGAAAGCGUGGGGAGCGAACAGG
rnacentral:rRNA from 1 species